rnacentral:rRNA from 1 species
UACGGAGGGUGCGAGCGUUGUUCGGAAUCACUGGGCGUAAAGGGCGUGUAGGCGGUCCGGUAAGUCUGAUGUGAAAGCCCGGGGCUCACCCCCGGAAGUGCAUUGGAAACUGGCGGACUCGAGUCCCGGAGAGGAGAGUGGAAUUCCUGGUGUAGCGGUGAAAUGCGUAGAUAUCAGGAGGAACACCGGUGGCGAAGGCGGCUCUCUGGACGGUGACUGACGCUGAGACGCGAAAGCGUGGGGAGCAAACAGG